rnacentral:lncRNA from 1 species
GAAUAUGCAAUGUAAGUGCUUUUGUUUUACUAAUAAUGUAAGUGCAUUUCUAUUGGCAGCAGACUAAAAUCUUACAAACAAACUCCUUUCUUUAAUUUUCUUUGCAUGCAAACAGUACCAAUGCUCACAUUAGAUACUUGAAAUGAUUUUAGAAGUACAUCCGAAUAUGACCUAAGAAGAUAUGUCUAUCACCAAACAGUGUUGUGUACAUUGUAAGGACAGGUUAUGGAAGCAACAAAAGAAAGAGUGCAUUUGACUUUCAUACCACAUGAGCAUGAAUUCGCUCUGUCACUUUGUUUGCUCCAAGAUCAUAAAUACAUAUUGACUCAUUGCUGUUUCCAACAACAAGUUCACGGCCAUCUUUUCAAAACUUUAUUUAAAAGAUUCCAAAGGAGGAUUCAUCAUCAGUAGCAGAAAAAUUCAAACCCUCAUGAAUGUC